UUAUUUAAAAACCAGUUGUUGGCAUGACACGGGUUAUGUUCUUCUCAUAUAUGUUAUGAUGGUAUGAUACUAAACCCCUAACGGGAAGGAUUGUGCCUGAUAUUCAUAUGAUGAAGACAUAAUCUUUCAAUCAGUUUAAUUGAAGUCUGGAGCUGGCAUGUCAGUUAACUGCUAGUAGUCUGUUGUUAUUAUGUAUUAUUGUCAUUUUGUUUAUUUUCUUUGGUUACAUCUUCUGACAUCGGACUCGGACUUCUCUUGAACUGAAUUUUAAUGUGCGUAUUGUUAUGCGUUUACUUUUCUACAUUGGCUAGAGGUAUAGGGGGAGGGUUGAGAUCUCAUAAACAUGUUUAACCCCGCCGCAUUUUUGCGCCUGUCCCAAGUCAGGAGCCUCUAGCCUUUGUUAGUCUUGUAUUAUUUUUAAUUUUAGUUUCUUGUGUACAAUUUGGAGUUUAGUAUGGCGUUCAUUAUCACUGAACUAGUAUAUAUAUUUGUUUAGGGGCCAGCUGAAGGACGCCUCCGGGUGCGGGAAUUUCUCGCUGCAUUGAAGACCUGUUGGUGGCCUUCUGCUGUUGUCUGUUCUGUGGUCGGGUUGUUGUCUCUUUGACACAUUCCCCAUUUCCAUUCUCAAUUUUAUGUAUAUGAAACAUUUGUUCAAAAAAUGUUACAUGGUUAAAUGUGAUAUGAAAUCACUUGCCUAGUAACAAAUGAAAAUAAUCAUUUGGUCUGAAAGACCCCCCCCCCCCCCCCCCCAUAUAAAAUAAGUAAAAUGGUAGCUCCUCAGAUGUAGGGUGAAUAUAAUGCAUCACCAUAUAGCCUAUGAGUAUGACACAUUGAAAGGAUACAUUUUAACUAUUAAGAAAUAAAAUUAAAUGUUCAAUAAUCAGAUAAUAUAAAUAAAGAAAUGAAUAUUUUAUAUCAAAUUGGGUUGAGAAUAAGAUUCUGUUUGAUUUAACGAACAAAAACAAUUAAGAUUCUUUUUGAAAAAUGUGCAUGGCUCUUAAAAGGGCCGUUUUAAACAGAUCUGUUGCAGAUAUUAUCUUCAGACUGUACGAAUUGUUAGGAUAACUCCGUUUUUUUCUUCAAGUGACCGUACUGGCAACUGCCCUGCACUACAGUCUACAUGUAUACAAUAAUAUAAUUAUUUCUCCUUUGACUUCAUCAUGUUCAUUAACUGUUACUGGUCUACUGUUCUUUUGAGAAAAGUAAAGUGAACGGCUUUCAUUUUCCACAUUGUUCUAUAAACUGUUUCGGUAUCUUAACUUUGUCGGUGUGAUGAAUUUUUCAUCAUUUUCAUGUCCUGAACUCGGCACUGGAACUCGGGUCAUAUAAGUAAAUCUAUAGAAAAAUUUCACAUAUAAUCCGCUCCAAUCAAUUGUACGCUAAAUGUCAGUGUUUUGGCAUAAUUUGAGCAGAAAAUUCGUGAAACUGUAGUCUAUAAUGUUGUUUUUCAACACUCAUGUUUACAUUCAUGGAGGCUGCCAUUUUUUUCUACCAGACUAUAUAUAUAACCGCUGAUUUGAUUGGAUAACUCUAUUUCCGGGAUUUCCGAUCGGCCAAUCAGAUAGUCGUUAUCAUUAAUACACGGAAUGUGUUCAAAUUUGAAACUAAAAAUAUUGUACGAAUAUGUAUCCUGUCCAGCAUUGUCCAGCUGUGGUUACAUUAAUCGUGUUAAUAAUAAUUAAUACUCAACAACCUUCGAUAAAUAAAGAAAUAGACAUUAAAGGCAGAACAUUUAGGUAUGACAUUAGCUGUUGAACCAAGAAUUUACGAUGAGACGAUGUGCUGAUGACAGUGAUGUAGGGCAGACGUACAGCAGAUACAGGUUGUCCAUAUAUUAAAAGGGAUUGAUCAUGGUGAAGGUACAAAGCUGCAAAAAUGAUGACUGUGCAUCGAUCAAUAUCCACUCAAUAAUAUGAAAACAAACGAACCAGCAGCAGAAAAGAAAUUUGAGUAUAAGAUUAUUGAAAGAUUAAUCAAUGAAGACUUAAUGGAACAGGAUUGGAAUGCAGAAACUUUGGACUUAAUUCAUGAAUAAUAUCAAUGGAUGAUGAAGAAAACUGACUAAACUGACAAAGUAUUUCGUAUGCAUGUUAACUGGACAUUUUUGUUUGUUUAAUGCACAAUAAACAAAUUUGUAAAAUUGAAAAUUAAAACCAUUUGUGAAAGAUUUCAAGAGGACCAAAAGUUACCAUGGACUUAUGAAUGAUUUAACCAGAAAAAUGAUUUACAUGUACAAUUAAGUAAAUACAUCUUUGACUAAAAAAUGAUAAUUUAUCAACGUUAAUAAUUUAAAGAGGUUGAUCUUUUCGUUUAAAAGGUCUUAAAUGUGGAUGAUGUAUAAACUGUUGUAAUUUCUUUAAUUGUUGACUUGCAUUAAAAUGGUUAUUGUCUUA